GACGAACGCUGGCGGCGUGCUUAAUACAUGCAAGUCGAACGGAGCGGCGGACGGGUGAGUAAUGCCUAGGAAUCUGCCUGGUAGUGGGGGAUAACGUCCGGCAACGGGCGCUAAUACCGCAUACUAUCAGAUGAGCCUAGGUCGGAUUAGCUAGUUGGUGGGGUAAAGGCCUACCAAGGCGACGAUCCGUAACUGGUCUGAGAGGAUGAUCAGUCACACUGGAACUGGGACACGGUCCAGACUCCUACGGGAGGCAGCAGUGGGGAAUAUUGGACAAUGGGCGAAAGCCUGAUGCAGCCAUGCCGCGUGUGUGAAGAAGGUCUUCGGAUUGUAAAGCACUUUAAGUUGGGAGGCGUUACCAAAAGAAUAAGCACCGGCUAACUACGUGCCAGCAGCCGCGGUAAUUC
rnacentral:rRNA from 1 species